GUGUAUAAGAGACAGGUGAAUCAUCGAAUCUUUGAACGCACAUUGCGCCCCUUGGUAUUCCAUGGGGCAUGCCUGUUCGAGCGUCAUUUGUACCCUCAAGCUCUGCUUGGUGUUGGGUGUUUGUCCUCUCCUUGCGUUUGGACUCGCCUUAAAGCAAUUGGCAGCCAGUGUUUUGGUAUUGAAGCGCAGCACAUUUUGCGAUUCUAGCCGAUAAUACUUGCGUCCAUAAGCCUUUUUUAACUUUUGACCUCGGAUCAGGUAGGAAUACCCGCUGAACUUAAGCAUAUCAAUAAGCGGAGG
rnacentral:misc_RNA from 1 species